UACGGAGGGUGCAAGCGUUAUCCGGAUUCACUGGGUUUAAAGGGUGCGUAGGAGGGCAGGUAAGUCAGUGGUGAAAUCUCCGAGCUUAACUUGGAAACUGCCAUUGAUACUAUCUGUCUUGAAUAUUGUGGAGGUCAGCGGAAUAUGUCAUGUAGCGGUGAAAUGCUUAGAUAUGACAUAGAACACCGAUAGCGAAGGCAGCUUGCUACACAGUUAUUGACACUGAGGCACGAAAGCGUGGGGAGCAAACAGG
rnacentral:rRNA from 1 species